GGUUGGGCAGGUAACUGCUUUCAAGUUUUGAGCUUAAGGGUGGAAAGCU
rnacentral:ncRNA from 1 species